rnacentral:rRNA from 1 species
GGUUAAGCGACUAAGCGUACACGGUGGAUGCCCUGGCAGUCAGAGGCGAUGAAGGACGUGCUAAUCUGCGAAAAGCGUCGGUAAGGUGAUAUGAACCGUUACAGCCGGCGAUGUCCGAAUGGGGAAACCCAGUGCAAUUCGUUGCACUAUCGUUAACUGAAUACAUAGGUUAACGAGGCGAACCGGGGGAACUGAAACAUCUAAGUACCCCGAGGAAAAGAAAUCAACCGAGAUUCCCCCAGUAGCGGCGAGCGAACGGGGAGCAGCCCAGAGUCUGAAUCAGCUUGUGUGUUAGUGGAACGGUCUGGAAAGUCCGACGGUACAGGGUGAUAGUCCCGUACACCAAAAUGCACAGGUUGUGAACUCGAAGAGUAGGGCGGGACACGUGGUAUCCUGUCUGAAUAUGGGGGGA